rnacentral:tRNA from 1 species
CGAGGUGUAGCGCAGUUUGGUAGCGCGCUUGGUUCGGGACCAAGAGGCCGUGGGUUCAAGUCCCGUCACCUCGACCA